AGUGAACGUUGGCGGCGUGGAUUAGGCAUGCAAGUCGAGCGAGAACCGUAGCAAUACGGGGACAGCGGCGAAAGGGACAGUAAUGUGUAGGUACCUACCCCGAGGUCUGGGAUAGCUGCGGGAAACUGCAGGUAAUACCGGAUAAUGUCUUCGGACCAAAGGUGUGAUUCCACCUUGGGAGGGGCCUGCAUCCUAUUAGCUAGUUGGCGGGGUAAUGGCCCACCAAGGCAACGAUGGGUAGCGGGUGUGAGAGCACGACCCGCGUCAUUGGGACUGAGACACUGCCCAGACACCUACGGGUGGCUGCAGUCGAGGAUCUUCGGCAAUGGGCGAAAGCCUGACCGAGCGACGCCGCGUGCGGGAUGAAGGCCUUCGGGUUGUAAACCGCUGUCGUAGAGGAGGUAAUGCAGGAGGGUUCUCCCUUCUGUUUGACCUACUCUGGGAGGAAGGACGGGCUAAGUUCGUGCCAGCCGCCGCAGUAA
rnacentral:rRNA from 1 species